UUAAGGUAUCUCUUUUUAUCGGAUCUGCCCACGCAUCACGCAGUGCAGCAAUUUGAAUUUCUCACUGCUCAGCAUUCAGCUCGCGAUGGAUUUUUGAUGUGACUUGAAAUUGUUUUGACAGUAUCUGGGCUUUAUUUAAGCAAAAUCUUGUGAAGUUUCUCUGACUUGAAUAUCUAUUAAAGAUAAUUAUCAAGAUGAAUCUUGGUAGACGUGUUGCUGAUGUUGGAUACAAAUCAUUCACCGUAGGAAUGCUUAUGUUAACUGGGUAUGCAACAAUACUGGUUGGUUCAAGGAUACAUCGCUUUAUACAAAAUAGAAGAGCAGUUAAAUCACCUACUGCAGAAUUAACGCAGGAUGUUCAGAAAUGAUUGUAAAGAACAUUGACAGUAUGCUUGCAUCUUUGAUUUGAUGAUUGAGAAUUAUGCAUAAAUCUCAUUUACAAAACUGAACAAGCUGGUAGAAUAAUGGUCAUGGAGUGUUUGCGACAAAGUGAUCAAUAAACAAAUAAAAUUAUGUAUGUAUGAAUAUCAUUAAAAAAAAAAUGAUCAGGCUGUUUAGAAAUAUGAUCUUGAAAUAUUGUUUGCAACAAACCUCCUGUACCAAGUACUGAAUGGAAAAAAUCUCAUUAAAAAACUGAACAAUCUGGUUAGAAUAUUAUGGUUCUAGAGUGUUUGUGAAAACCUCAUUGUGUGGUAACCAUACUCAAUACUGUAAGCGAAAAAAUUAUAUAAGGAAUGGAUGGAUCUAUUGAAAGAAGCUGGAUGGAAUAUGGUACUAGAGUUUUGUGUUUGCAAAAAACCUGAUAAAUCAUGUGCUUUUACAUUCACCCCUACUGUCACAGAGCUGCAUAAAACAAUUAGUCAUGGAUACUACUAGCAGAGCCAUUACAUCAUCUGUAUUUUGUAUUUGAUAUGACAAGCAAUACAAAAUCAUGAUUUUGUGAAGGCAUCGACGAUUCAGAGAGUGCCAUUUCCGACCAUCUAAAAGUGCCAGACGAACUUUUUUAUCAAGCUCCAACCAUGGUGGGCCCAAGGUGAUCUGAAUCCUUGUUUGGUAAAAUUUACUUUCUGGGCUCCUCUUCAAAUUCCUGUAUCCACCACUGAUGGUCUGAAAUUUUUUUGCUUCUAAAAAAGUGUUAUAGUAUUUUACAUACUUUCUGUAGCACGACUUUAAAUAAAAUGACAAAUUCUUAGUAUAUGUCAAACGUCUGUUUAUUUAGCAAAUGUCAAUGCAUCAACAUUCUUCGUUAGGGAGCAUAAUAUUAUACAUACUGUUUGUUGUACUGUAUACAGAAAAACACAGAUCAGAAUACAUGCAACUCAUAAUUAGGCCAAAUAAAAAUAAUUGCUAGUACAGUAGUUUCCAAUCUCAUCAAAUUUUGGAGCUUCAUAAAAGAAUAACUAUUUGCUAUUAAAAAAAAACCAAAAACCCAUCAUUUUUCCAAAAAUGACUUGUAUCUGAAAGAUUGACAAUGCCUAAGCAAAGGUGGACACAUACUGUAAAUUAAAUAAUAAAUUACAAAUAUUCAUUUUACUUAGUUUAUAAAAAACAAAUUAUGAUUUACCAGUCCACCACUAGUAUAUAGGAUGGUAAAAUAGCAAAUACCCUCAUAAAAAAAAAA